rnacentral:tRNA from 1 species
GGAGAGGUGGCCGAGUGGCUGAAGGCGCACGCUUGGAAAGCGUGUAUACAGGCAACUGUAUCGAGGGUUCGAAUCCCUCUCUCUCCGCCA